rnacentral:rRNA from 1 species
UUAGAAUCUAACAGAACGCUCUGGAAAGUGCGGCCAUAGUGGGUGAUAGCCCCGUAUGUGAAAGGUUCUUUGAAGUGAAAUCGAGUAGGACGGAGCACGAGAAACUUUGUCUGAACAUGGGGGGACCAUCCUCCAAGGCUAAAUACUCCUAACUGACCGAUAGUGAACCAGUACCGUGAGGGAAAGGCGAAAAGAACCCCUGUGAGGGGAGUGAAAUAGAACCUGAAACCGUAUACGUACAAGCAGUAGGAGCAGACUUGUUCUGUGACUGCGUACCUUUUGUAUAAUGGGUCAGCGACUUAUAUUUAGUAGCAAGGUUAACCGAAUAGGGGAGCCGUAGCGAAAGCGAGUGUUAACUGCGCGUUUAGUUGCUAGGUAUAGACCCGAAACCGAGUGAUCUAGCCAUGGGCAGGUUGAAGGUUGAGUAACAUCAACUGGAGGACCGAACCGACUAACUUUGAAAAGUUAGCGGAUGACUUGUGGCUGGGGGUGAAAGGCCAAUCAAACUCGGAGAUAGCUGGUUCUCCCCGAAAGCUAUUUAGGUAGCGCCUCGGACGAAUACCACAGGGGGUAGAGCACUGUUAAGGCUAGGGGGUCAUCCCGACUUACCAACCCUUUGCAAACUCCGAAUACCUGUGAGUACUAUCCGGGAGACACACGGCGGGUGCUAACGUCCGUCGUGAAGAGGGAAACAACCCAGACCGCCAGCUAAGGUCCCUAAAUAUUACUAAGUGGGAAACGAGGUGGGAAGGCUAAGACAGCUAGGAGGUUGGCUUAGAAGCAGCCAUCCUUUAAAGAAAGCGUAAUAGCUCACUAGUCGAGUCGGCCUGCGCGGAAGAUGUAACGGGGCUAAGUAAUAUACCGAAGCUGCGGACGCAAAGUUUACUUUGCGUGGUAGGGGAGCGUUGUGUAAGUGGCUGAAGGUGAGCUGAGAGGCGAGCUGGACAUAUCACAAGUGCGAAUGCUGACAUGAGUAACGAUAAGGGGAGUGAAAAACUCCCCCGCCGGAAGACCAAGGUUUCCUGUCCCAUGCUAAUCAGGGCAGGGUAAGUCGGCCCCUAAGGCGAGGCAGAAAUGCGUAGUCGAUGGGAAACGGAUUAAUAUUUCCGUACUUGGUAUAUCAGUGAAGGGGGGACGGAGAAGGUUAUGCAAGCCUGGCGUUGGUUGUCCAGGUGAAAGUGCGUAGAGUUGUUUCUUAGGCAAAUCCGGGAAACUACAUGCUCGAGACACGAGACGAGACUCUAAGGAGUUGAAGUUGCAAAUACCAUGCUUCCAGGAAAAGCCUCUAAACUUAUGAUAUAUCAAACCGUACCCCAAACCGACACAGGUGGUCAGGUAGAGAAUACUAAGGCGCUUGAGAGAACUUGGGUGAAGGAACUCGGCAAAAUCGUACCGUAACUUCGGGAGAAGGUACGCCUCUGUUUGUGAUUGAACUUGCUUCAUGAGCGAAUGGGGGCCGCAGUGAAAUGGUGGCUGGAACUGUUUAUUAAAAACACAGCACUGUGCUAAAUCGAAAGAUGACGUAUACGGUGUGACGCCUGCCCGGUGCCGGAAGGUUAAUUGAUGGGGUUAUCUUCGGAGAAGCUCUUGAUCGAAGCCCCGGUAAACGGCGGCCGUAACAAUAACGGUCCUAAGGUAGCGAAAUUCCUUGUCGGGUAAGUUCCG